rnacentral:rRNA from 1 species
UACGAAGGUGGCAAGCGUUACUCGGAAUUACUAGGCGUAAAGGGCAGGUAGGCGGUUUGGUAAGUCUGUUGUGGAAGCUCCCGGCUUAACUGGGAGAGGUCAACGGAAACUACCAGGCUUGAGUGCAGGAGAGGGUACUGGAAUUCCCGGUGUAGCGGUGAAAUGCGCAGAGAUCGGGAGGAACACCAACGGCGAAAGCAGGUACCUGGACUGUUACUGACGCUCAGCUGCGAAAGCUAGGGGAGCAAACAGG